rnacentral:rRNA from 1 species
GACGAACGCUGGCGGCGUGCUUAACACAUGCAAGUCGAACGAAGUGGCGAACGGGUGAGUAACGCGUAAUCAACCUGCCCUUCAGAGGGGGACCACAGUUGGAAACGACUGCUAAUACCGCAUACUGAAGUUUGGGAUUGCGUCGGAUUAGCUAGUGGGAGGGGUAACGUCCCACAAAGGCGCUGAGCAGUAGCCGGGCUGAGAGGUAGAACGGCCACAUUGGGACUGAGACACGGCCGAGACUCCUACGGGAGGCAGCAGUGGGGAAUCUUCCGCAAUGGACGAAAGUCUGACGGAGCAACGCCGGGUGAGUGAUGAAGGCCUUCGGGUUGUAAAGCUCUGUUAAUCGGGACGAGGGAACGGAAGAGAAAGCCACGGCUAACUACGUGCCAGCCGCCGCGGUAAGAG